UACGUAGGGAGCAAGCGUUGUUCGGAUUUACUGGGCGUAAAGGGCGCGUAGGCGGCGCGGUAAGUCACUUGUGAAAUCUCUGAGCUUAACUCAGAACGGCCAAGUGAUACUGCAGUGCUAGAGUGCAGAAGGGGCAAUCAGAAUUCUUGGUGUAGCGGUGAAAUGCGUAGAUAUCAAGAGGAACACCUGAGGUGAAGACGGGUUGCUAGGCUGACACUGACGCUGAGGCGCGAAAGCCAGGGGAGCAAACGGG
rnacentral:rRNA from 1 species